GGUCGGCUACAGAGAGGAUAGAAUGGAAAACGGAAAUUCAACAUGUGGUGCAACAUCUCUAAUUUCUGCCUCCACAGUAUGAAGAUGUCUAAAAGACUCAGUGUUCUUUCUAUAGCAGAAAAGUCACAUGCUCUUCAUGCGUAUGAUCCAUUGAUUAGUAUUCAUAUCAGGUCAUCAAAUCUUCCAUGGACCACUGGGUGACAUCAGGCUGCCAUCUGGUUUCUCCCCCCCUCCAGGCCACGUUUUGGGGCCUUUUCACUCUCUGUGUUCAUCAAUCUUCACACUGCUAUUCCAUGUGUGCUUUCCGUGCAUGCGUGUACGCAGCAGGUGAGAGACAGGUUACGCUAGCAGGUGGACUCAUGAAAGUCCCCGCUGAAGGACAACCAUAUUCACUGUUAUCACAAGAUCCCUGAUAUUGACCUCUGAAUCAUAACUCUGUGCCAAAAGAAUGCGUGGAGUAACUGAUAAACCACACCAGAGUGCUCGUAUGAACACAUAAGCCUUUCUUUGUGUGCUCGUGAGCACGUAGUUUUUCCUCCACCACUUUCACACAGUAUUUAUGCUAAAUAUGUACACAUGAAAAGCCAGAACCAGUCUCUUUAGACUUCAAUAGUCAAAUGCAUGACGUGCUCUACUAAACCUUGUUUCACCCUCGGUUGAUCAGCUUCACUGCACUUCCUCCUUUUCUCACUCCCCCCCAUGUUUACACUCAUCCAUCCGCCUCUCCGUUCUACAUCCUUCAUCCUUUCCUCCCUCCAUCACUCCCCCUUUCCUCCUGACUCUCCUAAGGCUCUGUACUUGCUGCUUUAAUGUGCUGAUACAUCUGUGAAUGAUUUUACCCAAAAGCAUAA